UACGUAGGUGGCAAGCGUUGUCCGGAUUUACUGGGCGUAAAGAGCGCGCAGGCGUCGUUCAAGUCGCGUGUGAAAGCCCCCGGCUCAACUGGGGAGGGUCACGCGAUACUGAUCGACUCGAAGGCAGGAGAGGGUAUGGAAUUCCCGGUGUAGUGGUGAAAAUGCGUAGAUAUCGGGAGGAACACCAGUGGCGAAGCGACUACC
rnacentral:rRNA from 1 species